GCGCUCGCGAGUCGGCUUUUUCGCCCUGGCCGCGCUCCUGAUGCCUCCCGGCCGCCGUAGGCGAAGGUUAGCGGAAGAGGGGAGCAGGCGCUCACCUGAGCUGACUCAGAAAUUGGAAUGAGUUGUCUGUGGAUCCUAUAAGGAGCCUGGACAUGGUGAAGAGAAUGCCUUGACCAUGAAGAGACAGCUUACCUUGCUGAAUCUUGAUGACUUCUUCUGACCACUUUGGAUCUUAAAAGAACAAGAAAGGUGCAGCCUCUGAGUGACUCACCACAGUAACUCACAAGCUGUAUGUUUCCAUGGCCCACAGGUACACAAGCAAACUUUUGGUCUUUUUCAAGGUAAAGUACAAUGUGCGUUGUAGUACUUAUAUAUUUCUUAACCAUUUAACAUCUGUAAAACCAUGCAACCAUUUUUAUUUGUUUCUUUAAAUGUGUCAAUAUUGAAGUUUUUGAAUGUUAUGCCGUGUGAUUUUGCUUAGCGAAGUGAUUUGUAGGAAUGCAUAUAUUAUAUCAGAACUGAUUGUACUUAGAUGCUUGCCUCUGAUGUAAUGAAUUAGUUUGAAUUUAAGAGAAAACAAUAUUCAAUUGAAUAUUGUUGACACUUUUUCUUUAUAUUUGACAUUUUGAAAUAAAAAUGUAACAGGUAUAUUAUUAAUGGUAAAAACUGCAAUUACUUUUGUACCAACCUAAUUGGACCUAUGCAUAGAAUUAUCUUAGUGGAGCAGCUCAAAUGUGGAUCAAAGCAGUUGAGCUACUCUGGUGACUCAUAUACCAGUAGUGCCACUGUUGUAAAUGUCUGAUUUUUCUAAAUGAUGAAUAACUUCUGAAGUUCUGAGCAAAACAAAGUAUACUUUUCCCUUCAUUUACACAGCAGUCGCUUUCCUGGAGAAUUGAUUUACAUUAGCCCCAUGCAAAAAAUACCUAUAUUUAUAAGUAAAAUGAAAUCAGCUUCUGGUCAUUUUUAUACAUAUGUAUAGGGAUUGGCAUGUGGGAAUGGGAAGUGAGACAGUUCUCUUAUCCACUAUGCAAUAUCCAAGCCCCUGCUCACUAAAUGCCACAGUGUCCCCUCCCCCUUACGUGACAACCCAAACUGCCCCCACACAUUUCCAGCAUGUCCUCUGGUGAACCAUUGGCCUGUAGCAAUGGACUUAUAAGCUAUAAUUAGGAUCAACAUAAAUUUCUUAGCUUAAGAAAAUAACUGCAGAAAACAGAAUGGAGAGAAUGAUUAAGCACAAGAAAGGCUAAGAAGAGUUCAGAGACUUUUGUGGACAGAAAAUGAAGUAUUAGUAAAUAAUGUUAAGAGACCUAAUGUCCUCAGGCUGAUUGGAAGAAGUACAAUAACUGGAUCAGUGCUGUCUCAUAGAAAUACAAUGUGAAUACAUAUGUAAUAUUAAAUUUUCUAGUAAGCAAAUUAAAAAAGAUAAGAAAUAGGCGAAUUGACUUGAAUAUAUUUUAUUUAAAACAACAUACAGAAAAUAUUAUUGUUCUGAGAUGUAAUCGAUAUAAAAAGUGUAUUAAUCAGAUCCUUAAUUUUUUUUUCUGCACUAAGUCUUUCAAAAUCUGGGAGUAUUUGCUCACAGUAUAGCUCACAUUUCAAGAGCCCAUGGGUUCUGUUUUGCUCCUGGGCAAGUCUUAUUUGGUUAUCACAGCACUUAAAAAUGGAAUUCUGUGUUUUCUAGGAUGCUGCUGAGGGUGGGAUGAGAAGUCCCAACUCAAACUGUCUUAAACAACGAAAACAUUUGUUCUCAUACAGAAAUUAGAGUUAGGGUACGCUCUAGGACUGGUUGGUUCAGCGAUUCGUGGCGUCAUCAAGGAUGCAGGUGCCUUCCAUGUUUCCAUCCUGAUUUUCUCAACGCGGGGCCUGCUCCUCAGGGUUGUAAGGUCGUGGCCAGUGGCAAGAUGGCGGCUCAUGCUUCUUUGUUUGUGUCCAACAGCAGGGAUGAAGACAUUUUUCCCUAAAAUAUGAAAUAUCCAUUCUUUCUUUCAGUCAUAUUGGGCAAAUAUGCCAUAUCUCGACUGACUUACACAAAUCAUCUGGGUCAGAAUAUUGGAUCCCUUCUUGUGAUUGAUGCAAGAAUGGCUUUGGCUGGGCAUUUUCUUUUCAUUUACUCACCAUGAGGCACACUAUUUCUUGUUGUCUUGUACUUGCUUUCUUUAUUCAGUUACUCUACGUGUCUGUCCCUGGAAGUGUUUGAGUUUGUGGCUGCCUCUUAAACACAGGCUCCAAUCAUUGUUGACGGAGCCACACAUGCAACGUUGCAUUAAAUUUUGAUGUGAGAGGAUUUAAGAGAAUGAGAGGAGGUUUACAGGAGAGAGCUAAAGUGAAAAGGGAAUUGACAUCAUGUCGUAUGAGGAAAGUUGAAGGGAAUGGCCUUGUAAACCUAUGAGAAGUGCAGGGCUUGUGGGUGGGAUAGAAUACCCUCAUCUUAUCGAUGAGGGUAUGUCUACUUGUAGCAGUUCUGUGCUCCCAUCAAAUUAGCUGCUUCAGCCGGGCAUGGUGGCUCAUGCCUGUAAUCCCAGCACUUUGGGAGGCUCAGGCGGGCAAAUCACUUGAGGUCAGGAGUUCGAGACCAGUCUGGCCAACAUGGUGAAACCCCUCUCUACUAAAAAUAUCAAAAUUAGCUGGGAGUGGUGGCGAGCGCCUGUAAUUCCAGUUACUCAGGAGGCUGAGGCAGGAGAAUUGCUGAACUUGGGAGGCGGAGGUUGCAGUGAGCUGACAUGGCGCCACUACAUUGCAGCCUGGGCGAUAGAGCAAGACUCUGUCUCCAAAAAAAAAA